UAGGGAAUCUUCCGCAAUGGGCGAAAGCCUGACGGAGCAACGCCGCGUGAGUGAUGAAGGUCUUCGGAUCGUAAAACUCUGUUAUUAGGGAAGAACAAAUGUGUAAGUAACUAUGCACGUCUUGACGGUACCUAAUCAGAAAGCCACGGCUAACUACGUGCCAGCAGCCGCGGUAAUACGUAGGUGGCAAGCGUUAUCCGGAAUUAUUGGGCGUAAAGCGCGCGUAGGCGGUUUUUUAAGUCUGAUGUGAAAGCCCACGGCUCAACCGUGGAGGGUCAUUGGAAACUGGACGACUUGAGUGCAGAAGAGGAAAGUGGAAUUCCAUGUGUAGCGGUGACAUGCGCAGAGAUAUGGGGGAACACCAGUGGCGAAGGCGUCUUUCUGGUCUGUAACUGACGCUGAUGUGCGAAAGCGUGGGGAUCAAACAGG
rnacentral:rRNA from 1 species